rnacentral:lncRNA from 1 species
GCUAGCUCCAGAUUCCAGCCCCUGGGGCAAUAACUUGUGAGGAUUUUCCUGGUGUUACAAAAAAUAUUGCUGUUAAAAAACUAAGACUCAAAACCAAAAGUUGUGAUUAAUAAUAACAGGAUUAUUAGUCAAUAAUAUUUUGAUUAAUACUAUAGAAUAGCAACAGUGAAUAUACCUCAAAUUGAAAACUUUUAGGUUGUGUUCUUGGCUCAUUCUCUCAUAACCUGGAUCUAAGUUGGAAAGCUGUGGCACCCUGUUUGGGUGUCCCAUCUACCCUGUUUUCUGUUUCUGCAGAUGGCUUGUUCAAGCUUCAUUUUAAGCCUGCUCUGUCUACUUAUCUUCCUUAUAUCCUAAUAGACUUCUCUUGUGUUAUUACACAUUUCUCUUUUGCUCUAAUAUUUCAUUAUUUUCCAGUUUGUCAGUACCGUUAUCAGAGGGACGAGGAAGGAAUAACACACCAGUUGACCAUUUUGUUUCUCUGAAAAUCUGAGCAAUACGGAGAUCCUUUUAUUAGUAAAACUGAAUCAUUACUCAUACUACAAGGGCUUUCACUUUUAAAAUGUAAUCCAUCAUUGCUUGCCAUUUUUAUGAAAACCAAAGUUGAAAAGUCUUCUGAAUCACAGGCUAUGUAUAGCCACACAUGCAUGACUUCAGGCUAGCAUAAAGACAUGUCUGCUCCUGAGCCUCUUCUUUUAAAGGGCAACCACUUGUAUACCCUCUGGUGGCCACUCCUCCUUCUCCACUCCAAGGCAGCCCUGGUACUUUCCUAAGUGGCCCCUCCUACAGAGCACUUGCCGGCAUUUGGCCUGCUGCUGGUGAAGACGCCCCUUACUAGCUUCAUAAAUGUUUUUCUGCAAGCAGGGAUCCCAGACACAUACUUUGGUUUCUAGUGUUUCAGUUACUAUGUUGUAUUUGAAAUUCUCAUUCCACAAUUACCCUUUAGUUGAAGUCCUGAAGUACAUGCCAUGUACUCCCCCUUUAUUUCUACCUUGAUCAAUGGCCUCUGCGGAGUGUAGUGAAAGACAUCUUUUUAUUAUGAUCUACACUUUAAAAAACCAAAGGCUGCCUGUAUUACAUUGCUUUGGGGAGUUGUUAAGACUCUGUUUUUUCUACUGCUUCACAUUAAACAAUAAUUUUGUUGAAUUUUGAAUUCUUAAAAUUCUCACUGACAAACAUUUUAGGUCAGUGUUGAGGAAAAUGUGUGAUGCAUGUUAGAGAGGUGAUGCAUUCUCCCUUAUGCAGGGACAUGGGUAUAUGUGUUACAUAUGCUGAUAUAUAACCCACCAUUCAUCCCAGGACCACAAGGGUAGCUGUAGAUAAACUGGUUAUCCUAAAAUCAUGAUUAUCAGUGUUGAUCUCUGCAACCAACAUUGCUUUAGGGAGUUGCUAGUCAUUACCCCUGCUACAAUAGAUAGUAUUUGUCAGUCUAAGUUACAGACAAAAAAUUCUAGGUUGACUGAUUAAGAAAGCCAUGUGUUUUAAUUUCCUUCAUGUUUUAAAAACAAUGGACGUAAGUGCAGAGAGACCUUUGAAAAUAUUAAGGGAAAUCUAUUUAAUCCUAUAGGUAUGUGAUGACUUGUUUUUUUGGAAAAAGGUAUUUGGAACAUCAAUCUGUAAUUAUCCAUUUUCCAUUCAUGCAUUCACUAAUUCAAUAUUUGAUAUGUGUCUGGGAGUGCUGGGAAUAACAUAAAUACAAAAAAAACCCUAAGAUAAUCAUUCACCAGAAGCUCAUAGAUAUAAUACAGUUAUAUAGCUAAAUGCAACCAGUUGUUUUUCCAAAUGUACUCAUCAUCUGUAAUAAAAGAAAAAUGAAGUAAAACAUCUGAAACCUUAACUUACUCAUGAGUUGCUACUUCCUUGGAGGCAACUGUAGAAGCAUUAAUAUAUGGUUCUUUGGGUUGGGUCAUACUGCC